CUCAUGUUUUCUUUCUCAGGAGCAAGAAGAUUCUCUUCCUCAGAAGAGAGACAAAAGGAAGCAUUUCUCAAUGUCACUUGUAGAAAGACAUAUCCUAUUGCCUGGUCAAUAGAUACUGAGAAAAUUUGCUUUGAAUAAAUGAGUUAACAGUAAACAUGUUUGACCUGAGAUUCUCAGGAAAUUGGGGCCCCUAAUGAUACUGAUGGCUCCAGGAAGCACUAGGUAGAACUUCUACAAAGAUGCAGUAUUUUUUUUUUUUUUUUCAGAAAUCUCCCAUUGUUUUCAUAUGUAUUAAAGCCAGUCUCUAAUUCUGUUUUUCUUCUUUUUCCACCAUCUUAAGAAUAUUGCUCUGGCAGUUUCUUAUGAGGUCAAACAUACAUUUAAGAUGCCAAUCAGCAAUUCCACUUCUAGAUAUUUACUUUUUUAGUGAAAUAAAAAUCAGUGUUUAUAAUAAAAACCUAUGUGUGAGUGCUUAUGGCAGCUUUCUUUGUGUCAAACAAACCUGCAAACAACUCAAAUGUCCCACAGCUGGGGGAUGGAUACACAAACUGUGGUUAUAUUAGGUUGCCAGGGGCUGGUAGUAAUAAAAGGAGCUGACAACCAAGGAGCAUUGGGAGAGUAUUUUCUGGAGAAAUAGAAAUUUUCUAUCUUGAUUGUUGUGGUAGUUAUUCAACUGUGUGCAUUUGCCAAUACUUGCAUAACUGUGCACUAAAAAUGGUGAAUUUUACUGUAUGCAAUACAGAAUAUACCUUAAUAAAAACAAUGAGAUAAAAAGAAUACUGGCAUGGGAAUGAGGAGAACUGCAAUCUAGUCUCAGUUAUGCCACUAACUAGCUGUGUAACUAGGAACAAACCUCUAAUCCUCUUUGGGUCUUGGUGCCCAAAUCUGCAAAAUGAGACUGGACAAUAUCUCAACAAGUCUAUUGCUCCAUUCUACAAAGACUUCCUUCUUUAAGAAAGGUGGUGGACCAGAUG
rnacentral:lncRNA from 10 species